rnacentral:rRNA from 1 species
AAAUUGAAGAGUUUGAUCAUGGCUCAGAUUGAACGCUGGCGGCAGGCCUAACACAUGCAAGUCGAACGGUAACAGGAAGCAGCUUGCUGCUUUGCUGACGAGUGGCGGACGGGUGAGUAAUGUCUGGGAAACUGCCUGAUGGAGGGGGAUAACUACUGGAAACGGUAGCUAAUACCGCAUAACGUCGCAAGACCAAAGAGGGGGACCUUCGGGCCUCUUGCCAUCGGAUGUGCCCAGAUGGGAUUAGCUAGUAGGUGGGGUAACGGCUCACCUAGGCGACGAUCCCUAGCUGGUCUGAGAGGAUGACCAGCCACACUGGAACUGAGACACGGUCCAGACUCCUACGGGAGGCAGCAGUGGGGAAUAUUGCACAAUGGGCGCAAGCCUGAU